ensembl:lncRNA
CAAACAUACAUUUCCCUUCAUGGGAGAGAAUAGUUUAAGUUUAAAGGAUAUUUUGAAUUGAUUUGUGUAUAACUCAUAAAUUAGAGGAAAAUUCUAGAGUCAAUAAAGAGUGAAAGAGAUGAAAGAUGUGAAAGAAAGAGAUAAAUAACAUUAAUGACGAGACCUUUCAACCCUGCCCACCCCUCUGUGCCUUACAGGACUACACUACUCACAACCACAAGGGCCGGCAGAGAGACAGAGAAACACAGGUCAGUGAAGGCUGUUUGCGGGGGAAUGUCUGUUCCACUGCAGGCUCGCAUCCGUGACUUCCUCUGCAGCUCAGUCUUUAGACACACAGAGACAUGGGGCAGAGAGCUCAGCAGAGCCGCUCUGCCUGCCAGACCUCAAACUGCAGCCUGCAGCUGCACUGACCAGCACUGGGCUGGGGGAGGGAUGGAGGGACAGGAGAGCCGAAUGGGAGAGUGAAGAUGUGAGGAGAGAGAGGAGAGCAGAAUGGGAGAGUGAAGAUGUGAGGAGAGAGAGGAGAGCCGAAUGGGAGAGUGAAGAUGUGAGGAGGAGAGAGAGGAGAGCCGAAUGGGAGAGUGAAGAUGUGAGGAGGAGAGAGAGGAGAGCCGAAUGGGAGAGUGAAGAUGUGAGGAGGAGAGAGGGGAGAGCAGAAUGGGAGAGUGAAGAUGUGAGGAGGAGAGAGAGGAGAGCCGAAUGGGAGAGUGAAGAUGUGAGGAGGAGAGAGGGGAGAGCAGUGCAAAAGAAAGAGAUGGAGGAAGUGAAUGGGAGGACAGACAGAGAUAAUUAUUAUCCUCCCCCCUCCUCCUCUUCCUCCUGCCCCCUCUGACUCCCUCGCUCCCGAUGGACAGCACAGGAUGCUCCACCUCCUUCCGGAUUUCAACCAAUCACUGGCUGAGGCUCGUAAAGCUCGCUACAUCCAUCACCGAGGUCUAUCCCCCUGCGAGAGGGAGCUGUCAAUCACUGACAUAUUCACCAGAGGCAAUAUGGGUUCCAACCACAGAUUCUGAAAGCAACCCUGUUAGACUUAAAAACAUUCCUGUGAGUGUGACCUACUGACUAGGUUUGCUUUAACCUAAGACCUUUGCACACCACAGGAAUGUGUCGAGUGGGGUUCCCAAAGUUUUUCUGCACAUGACCCCAAAUUUACACUAGAAAAUGCAUGGGACCCCACUUUGGAAAAUAAUAGGCCUAACAGUUAACACUGUGUGUUUACAUUCACUAAAUGUUAGGUCCCACAGGCUGUCCCAACAUGAUAAUGACAUGAAAGCACAUUUGUGUAAAAGGCCCUUAGUUGACACUGUACAUAUUUUGAAGAGAAAGAGUUCUUAAUUUCUUUGAUAAGCUUACAGAUUUUCUCAGGGGACCCCAUUUCAAUUUCAGGGGACCCCACCCCAUGUUUGGAAAACACUGUGUUAGCCAAUUAAGCAAAAACCUUAAUAUUUGCUCGGGGAGCUUCAGUUCUCACUUCCGUUACAUUUAUUUAUUUACCUCUAUAAACAUUAGAUCAGUGGAGGCUGCAGAUGGGAGAAUGGCUCAUAAUAAUGGCCGGAACAGAGCAAAUGAAAUGGCAUCAAACACCUGGAAACUGUUUGUUUGAUACAUUCGAUACCAUUCCACCUAUUCCGCUCCAGUCAUUAUCACGAGCCCGUUCUCCCCAAUUAAGGUGCCAUUAACCACCUGUGCAUUAGAUCCAUUCCAACCUACUAUGUCCGGACAACGUGAAGCCAUACUCAACAAGGCCUUGGUCUGUCAUACACCUGUUUCGUGCCAAACUGACAGUGCAUCUUGUUCAAUGAGCCAUAUUUCUAUCCAUGAAUGUACCAUUUGAGCAGGGCCAGUUUACCACAUUUGGGGCCUCGUGCACUGACCUACGUCAGCUAACAUACUGCAUUUCAACACAUUUGGCUAUGGAGCAGAGAGAGAAUGUGCAGUUUUAUAAUGCUAUUCUACACAUUUCAUCAUGAGGCUAAGGGAAAAUGUUGCAGUUUAAAGCAAAUUUCCAGUAAUUCUACACUUUUUGCCAUCUCAUGCUUUUGUUCACAUUUGGCCAUAGGGCUGAGAGAACAUUUUACAGUUUUAAAGCUAACUUCCUGCAAAUGCAGGGGUGGGGGUUGGUGCUGCCUGGAAGUCAGGGGAGGCACUUACCCUGUGUGCCAGUUCGAUAAUCCAGCCCUGCAUUUCAAAUCAAAUCACAUUUUAUUUUAUUUGUGACAUGCGCCGAAUACAACAGAUGUAGACUUUAAUGUGGAAUGCUUACUUACAGAAGAACAAUGACUGGAGUCUCUGACAAUUUUAUGGGCUUUCCUCACACACUGCCUAUUAUAUAGGUCCUGGAUGGCAGGAAGCUUGGCCCCAGUGAUGUAUUGGGGUUACUACCCUCUGUAGCGCCUUACGGUCAGAUGCCGAGCAAUUGCCAUACCAUGUGGUGAUGCAACCGGUCAGGAUGCUCUCGAUGGUGCAGCUGUAGAAUCUUUUGAGAAUCUGGGGACCCAUGCUUAAUCUUUUCAGUCUCCUGAGGGGGAGAAAGGUUUUUGUCAUGCCCUCUUCACAACUGUCUUGGUAUGUUUGGACCAUGAUAGUUUGUUGGUGAUGUGGACACCAAGGAACUUGAAACUCUCAACCCGCUCCUCUACAGCCCAGUCAAUGUUAAUGGGGGCCUGUUUGGCCCGCCUUUUCCUGUAGUCCACGAUCAGCUCCUUUGUCUUGCUCACAUUGAGGUAGAGGUUGUUGUCCUGGCAUCACACUGCCAGUUCUCUGACCUCCCAUUUGAGACCUGCUCAAUGUAAAGGUCCAUAAUAUAUUUUGUGCUAAAUCAUGUAUCUGAUUGAAAUUCUCAAUGCAUGUAAAGUAUAAUGUAUAAAAUCAUUGGCUCAUGCAUCAUGAUUAAUUGUAAUAAAACAGAGGCCAAGAGAUAAAGGUUGCAUCAGUGCCUCAGGCAAGAGUGUGUGAGGAGAACGUCCCCUGGCGACUACUUUAGAUAUUGUUUAACAUUUGCCUUCCAAUCAUUGACCAUAAAUGCGUAUGAGAAUAUGUAGGCCUAUUUAUUAUCGCAAUGUUAGGAUGUUUUUUAAAUGUACUUAUUUAACUAGUGAAGGGAAAGGGGAUACCUAGUCAGUUGUACAACUGAAUAUCUUCAACUGAAAUGUGUCUUCUGUAUUUAACCCAACCCCUCUGAAUCAGAGAGGUGUGGGGGCUGCCUUAACCGACAUCCACAUCUUCGGCGCACCGGGAACAGUGGGUUAACUGCCUUGCUCAGGGGCAGAACGACAGAUUUGUUUUACUUUCGGUUACUGGCCCAAUGCUCUAACCACUAGAACAAAUUCUUAUUUAUAAUGAUGGCCUACCGAUAAUAAAUAAAAAAAAACAUGUUCUGUGGUAUUAUUAAUAAACUAUGAAAUCUAUUGGCUCAAGCCAUGGGCAGCUAAGGAUGUAUACUUAGUGUAACCAAGCCGAUGAUCCCACUAUGAAAAGAGAGAACACUAAAACAGGUUCAAGUACGUUUAAGAAUGCUUAAAUGAACUCGGAAAUGAAAAUGUAUCCGUUCCGUUCCCAAAAACGUCAAGCACAGUAAAACUGGAAUAGAACAAAGUUGGCCUUAGACAUACUGAUAUAAACUAGGUUUUGCGUCCCCCUUUGGCUUAACUAAGGAUUUGGGAUGUAGCUGAUCCUAGAUCGGUUCUUACAUCCCUCGGGCAACUUAUACCUGGAGCUGAAACUAAAAAACAAGUCAAGUGGUUGUAGCCUACUUCCGUGUUUUCUUUUAAACGAAAUAGCUCCAUAUACACACAA